rnacentral:lncRNA from 1 species
AUUGCGCAUGCGGGAAACCCACGCUGAGGGAAGAAUCAUGGGAAAGAGUAGAGACGGGGUUCCACCGUGUUAGCCAGGAUGGUCUCGAUUUCCUGACCUCGUCAUCCUCCCGCCUUGGCCUCCCAAAGUGCUGGGAUUACAGGCUUGAGCCACCGCGCCCCGCUCUUUCGUGUUCCAAAGGCUUUUUAAAUAAACUUCCACUCCUGUCCUGGAUUCUGCUUUAUGGCCCUCAGUCGAAUUCUUUCUUCUGAGGAGGCAAGGACUGAAGUUGCUUCUGACCAGUACAGGUACGCCGCAGGACCUGGAAGAAGUCAUGCCACGGGCCAGACCUUAACAUUCCUUUCGGCUUACCCCAGGAUUUCAGACAAAGCUUCACUUUCCUAACCAGUCACAAAUCAGAGAAUUUUUGAUUCCACCUAUGACCUGUGAGCUCCUGCUUCAAGAUAUUCCACCUUUUUUAGGCCAAACCAAUGUAUAACCUCCAAGUGUCGAUUUACACUUUCGACUGUAACUUCUGCUUUCCUGAGAUUUACCCCUGCCUUUAAAAACCCUUGCUUGUAAUCCCUCAGGGAGGCCGUGUAUUUAUUAAUCAUGAGCUGCCCAAUUCUCCUUGCUUGGUGCCCUGCAAAUAAACACCCUCUUUUCUCCCACUGCAAAA